rnacentral:lncRNA from 1 species
GAAGUGUUUCGCUUUUUCUUUGACAGCCUCAGACUCAGGGCUGGGACCCUUGGGACUCAAAAGAGAGAAAAGGUGGAGAAAAGAGAAAGCUACUAUUUUCUUCAUUUUGCCCCUGCUAACAUCCAAUGCACUUAGGAGCCUCGAUGUCUGCUCUCCAAGAGAUGUCUGAUCUGAAAGCAUGUUGUGGUCCGCUACACACAAGAGCAAAAGAAGAGCAGGAAGGAGCUCAGUGCCAAGACCAUAGCCACAGGAAGAAAACCAGCUCUUAGGGCUGCAGCUCUAAAGACAGGCCAGGUCAUUACAGGAACGUCUGCUCCCUUAGCCUUGCCAGACAGAGGAGGGUUAAGAAAGGAACUGCUGACCCUGAUAUGCAAACUGCCACGAGUGCUUCCUGCCUUUCUAUCAGCAUCAGAUGGCUAGCGAUGGAUGGCUGUAAGAUUGAUGUAAUUAACAUUUUAUUUUCAGGGCCACAGUGCUGGUUGGGUGCACCAGACAAAUCAACCAACAGAUUAAAGAGUGAUGGAGAAAGCUGUGUUUUGGGCCUCAUUUGGGAACAGAAUGGAAGAGCUGAGGGUGGAAGGGACCUCAGCAAGUCUUCUGAUCCAUGUUUCAACCUUCAUUUCCCCGAUAACCUCAAGGAGAGAGUUGCUUUUCCUGUUCUUCAAAUGAGUUCCUUGAAUUCACACUCUAUUUCUUUGAAUUUGCACAGACUGUUGAGGAACAGGCGGCAGGGUCACUCUACCUCUGCUCAGACAAGCCUGGAAAAGAAAAAUUUUACAUAGAAGACUGAGCUGGAAGAGGCCUGGGAACUUGGGAAUUCCCACUUCCACACUGCCCACUCUAGUUCUCAAGAGGCGGCAGCUAUGCUGCAGUACAGACCACUGAAUUUAGAUUCAGGAAUCUGGGUUUAUAUCUCACUCCUCCUCUUACUUGCAAGUCACUUACCACACCAGGCCUCGGUUUCCUGGACAAUAAAAUGGGGAUAACGUUGCCCCAUGUGGUUGUUGGUGGUCAUGAAAUUAUGCACACGAGCACGCCUUGUAAUCUAGGUUAGACCUGCACUAACCUAGAUUAGCUGACCAGGGUGGAAGGUGGGAGGGGCAGGCUUCAGUGUGUGACUUACCUAGAGGCCAAGGGGAGUCACCAUGGAUAGGGCAGCACUUGUAAGUCCUCUGCUCUCUCAAUGUGGCUCUGAGAAUCUCCAGGAAGAACUGGCUGGUUGAAUUCUCAACUCUACCAAGAAAGGUGUGCUGGAGACCAGGGUCAUAGACGUCUCCUUGUUGAUGUACGAAAAUCAGGAAGCCGUCUCGGGUCCUCUUUACCAGGACAUAGUGUAAUUAUUCAUCUUCUUCCCUGUCAGUUGGCACUGGAAAAUUUUGCUUCUUCUAAAAGGAACAAAUAUCUCUAGCUCUUGUUGCUCCAACAAGGUGUCUGGCUUGAUUCCUAAAGUAAAUAAAUAAAUAAACAAAUAGAUUGAUA